AGAGUUUGAUCCUGGCUCAGGACGAACGCUGGCGGCGUGCUUAACACAUGCAAGUCGAACGGAAAGGCCCCUUCGGGGGUACUCGAGUGGCGAACGGGUGAGUAACACGUGGGUGAUCUGCCCUGCACUUUGGGAUAAGCCUGGGAAACUGGGUCUAAUACCGAAUAGGACCGCAUGCUUCAUGGCGUGUGGUGGAAAGCUUUUGCGGUGUGGGAUGGGCCCGCGGCCUAUCAGCUUGUUGGUGGGGUAAUGGCCUACCAAGGCGACGACGGGUAGCCGGCCUGAGAGGGUGUCCGGCCACACUGGGACUGAGAUACGGCCCAGACUCCUACGGGAGGCAGCAGUGGGGAAUAUUGCACAAUGGGCGCAAGCCUGAUGCAGCGACGCCGCGUGGGGGAUGACGGCCUUCGGGUUGUAAACCUCUUUCAGUAUCGGCGAAGCUCCAGGGUUUUUCUUGGGGUGACGGUAGGUACAGAAGAAGCACCGGCCAACUACGUGCCAGCAGCCGCGGUAAUACGUAGGGUGCGAGCGUUGUCCGGAAUUACUGGGCGUAAAGAGCUCGUAGGUGGUUUGUCACGUUGUCCGUGAAAACUCACAGCUUAACUGUGGGCGUGCGGGCGAUACGGGCAGACUGGAGUACUGUAGGGGAGACUGGAAUUCCUGGUGUAGCGGUGGAAUGCGCAGAUAUCAGGAGGAACACCGGUGGCGAAGGCGGGUCUCUGGGCAGUAACUGACGCUGAGGAGCGAAAGCGUGGGGAGCGAACAGGAUUAGAUACCCUGGUAGUCCAA
rnacentral:rRNA from 1 species